rnacentral:lncRNA from 1 species
UUCAUACCCUGCACCUGUAGCAAGGCUGGGUGGCCCUGAGAAGUCAACUGGUUGGGAGUGUUUUCCAUUUGGGAGUAGCUUAGAGCCCAGUUUGGCUUCCAAGGACAAAGAAGGCUGCCGUCUCACCCUCCUCUCUACUGGCCACACUCCUAGAGCCCCAUGAAAUCGGCCACUGCCUGCCAGCUCUUCACAGACGGGCCGGGGCGGUCUCUGCAGGGGUGUCCAGGAUCAUGAUUGAGGGGCCCUGGCAGGCAGGAGUGGAAAACGAGGCCUCGAUUCCAAGCCCGAGUCAUGCUUGUAAGCUCCUUGCUGCUUUCCAAUGGAGUGCGAAUGCAUGCUGUCCUCGGCCAGGGUUCUGAGCUGGGCCAACCCUCUCAGGCAGGGCCCAGGGCAGUGUCUCCUUGGGGUUGUGCCCCCAAUGCCCACAGGGAGGCAGGGCCACAGUGAGUCACAGGGGUGCAACAGCUCUGUCACUUGAAAGGCUCAGGGAGCAGCUCUGCUCUCCUUGUCUCUCCACCCCCACUUCUGUAGUCCUCAUCCCAUCUAGUCUGAAGCAGGGCUGAACUGGGCUACAGAGUGUCUGUCUUGAGCUGCAGAAACUUGACUCUGUGACUGGGACAGACAGUGCUGUCAAGAUAAAGCUUCCAAGGAUACAGCCUCUCCAGCACCUUAAAUUUAUCCAACAGACUUCUGCCAGUCUGUCUGAAAUAACAGAGCAGCUCCAGGAAGCAACAACAAUUAAAAAAAAAGGGGAAUCUGCUGGCAUCACCCCCAUCCAAACCAGGCUCAGGAAAUUUUCCAGGGCCAGGCAGCCUUUGUGGAAGCUAUGUAAGGACUGGAGAAACGCGUGUUCUUGUGCAAACAAACCCCAAAACAAAACAAGAGAUACUGUCUUUGGACUGGACUUUGUCCAGCCUGGAGUCACAGUGCCCGUCAAGAGCCACUCCAGAAUACUUGUACCUGGAUCUUCACUAGGGCCGGCCAGAGCAGAAUGCAGUGUUCUCAGGACUACAAAGCUGGGUCACCCACACAUGGUUGGACUUGAUAAGUAUCGUAACCUAACGAAGGAUGCCAUACUCUCCAGUGCCUGGGGGAGCCCCAGUGGGAAUGGAUCCAGAUGGUGCUGGGCCUGGGCCAAAAGAGAAAUGGGGGAGGACGGGUCCUUUCUCUCCUUUGUCCCUAACCUCCCCACAUCCUACUGCUGUCUGACUCAGAACUCUCAUGAAAAACCCAACUUCUUACACUGAUAUUUCCCAGAGGCCUAAUUGUGCAACAAGAAAUAAAAACGCAAUUAGAGAACUGAGGUCCAGCAGGAAAUUCACAUUACAUAAAUAAGACCUGGAGUGUGUAGGGGAGCGCCCCAACUCCCAGCCUUGUUAGUAUUGAAGGCUGCGAGCACACAGCUCAGGGAUCCUCUGAUUUGGUGGAUAACCCCUGUGAACAAUAGUUCUCUGAAAAGGGAUUUAGAGGAAAGAGACUUUAUUCCUGUAAACAGUUUUCAAACUAGGGAA